rnacentral:lncRNA from 1 species
UAUACGCAGUGCUGAUGUUUCAGACGCCUGUGAAAGGAACAUAGGACGAAUUUCCUUAUAGAUGUCAGAUCACUGACAAAAAAAAAAAAAAAAAAAAAGAAAGAAAGAAAGAAGAAGAAGAAAACAGCUGGCCUCUUGAACCCACACUAGCAGAUACUGUCUAUCUGGAAAGGCGAGCCUGAGGCCUCAGGCCCUUCACAUCACAUCUUUGCUGGAAGAGGGGCCAAAUUAUGGUCAGCACCCCUUACCCCCAAGGGUGCUCUCACAGAGGAGCUUUGAUUUUUAAUGAGAAGUCCUUUCCCCAAGGCUGAGCAUUGCAGCACGAAACCUGUGUGGCAGAGCCAAGCUGUAGGUGCUUGCUGUCUGCUGGCUGGAAGUGUACAGCUCAGUGGCCACACGCAAGGGCAGGUGGGCAGAUGCACGAGGUGGGACACUGAUUACUGCUUAGCCAGUGACAGCCUGGCAUCAGGAACUAAAGCCUUGCUCAGAUGUGAUUUUUAUAAGCACUCGUUUUUCAGGAAGCAAAGGUGAUAUGCCAAAUAGCUGUAUAAUGUCAAAACAGAGACUUCCUGAACACUUUGAGGUUUUCCACUCAGAAAAAAAAGGAAGUUAUCAAAAUAGGAAGCUGUUGAGGGUGCAUGCAGACUCUUGCUAUGUCACAUCCAGCAAGUGUGGUAUGUGGCUUUCAUAAUCUAUUUACGUUUACUCAUUCCUUUCAGUAUCUCAAGGUAUAGAAUCAGAGAUACCACAGUCACAAGGACCUUUUUAACCUGUAAAAUUGUGUGAUGAUGCUUACUUACCAUAUGGAAAUACGGACUAGGAAUCUGGCCCCACCUCACCAGACAGGAAUUUCAAGUGAUUCCUCUCUCAUAGUCAGUGUCAUGAUGUCUCUGUGAACCCCUCCUGUCAUUGCAUCACUGGUUGCCACUAGUGGGUGGCAAAAAAAAAAAGAAAAAAAAAAGAAAAGAAAAAAAGACAAAAAAAAAAAAGGAAAAAAAAGUCUUAUAUUGCUGUAUUAGGGUUUCUGCAGUUGAUAUUGAAAAACUGGUCCAGUGUGUCACAGCAGGCGACUGAUGGUGCAUACCUGUCUCUGUGUCCCCUUCAGUGAGCUGUAGUUGUGGGUUUGUGUGCUUUGUAGCCUGUUAUACGGAAAGCAACAGACAAUCGAAGAUUCCAGGAGUGCUAACUAACAGCUGCAAGUCACAGACGGGGAGUGUAACAAGUGGAAGCUUGCCUGAGGGCUUCUGUUUCUGUUCUACUUUUCAUUAAGACUGGAGUCAAGCUUACAUGUAAACUAUUGGUGAUUUAAGUUUCCUUUUGUGUCAUUUUUGUGUAAAACUGUCUAAUUUGAAAAAAAUGUAGCUUAUGAAAAAUAAAGAUUUAGGCACUGUUC